GAUGAACGCUGGCGGCGUGCUUAACACAUGCAAGUCGAACGAUGAAGCCCAGCUUGCUGGGUGGAUUAGUGGCGAACGGGUGAGUAACACGUGAGUAACCUGCCCUUAACUCUGGGAUAAGCCUGGGAAACUGGGUCUAAUACCGGAUAGGAGCGUCCACCGCAUGGUGGGUGUUGGAAAGAUUUAUCGGUUUUGGAUGGACUCGCGGCCUAUCAGCUUGUUGGUGAGGUAAUGGCUCACCAAGGCGACGACGGGUAGCCGGCCUGAGAGGGUGACCGGCCACACUGGGACUGAGAGACGGCCCAGACUCCUACGGGAGGCAGCAGUGGGGAAUAUUGCACAAUGGGCGCAAGCCUGAUGCAGCGACGCCGCGUGAGGGAUGACGGCCUUCGGGUUGUAAACCUCUUUCAGUAGGGAAGAAGCGAAAGUGACGGUACCUGCAGAAGAAGUACCGGCUAACUACGUG
rnacentral:rRNA from 1 species